rnacentral:tRNA from 1 species
GCAGUGGUGGUUCAGUGGCAGAAUUUUUACCUUCCAAGUGGGAGACCCAGGUUCAAUUCCCGGCCAAUGUU